CUCGUACGGAGAGAAGUUAGUGCAGUGGCAUAUAUUGAUGAACUUCAUCCUCACGUAGAUGGUGGCAUUGUGUAAGGGGCAUCGGCACAUCGCUGAUACGAGCUGACCAACUAGUGAAGAUAUUUUGAAAAAUUGUUAUAAUCACAUAUGGAAAAGUCUGAAGUAAAACCCAAUAUGAAAAAGCUCAGACUUGUAGCGAUAUUCGUUCUUAUUUCACUUGCAUCUUUUGGUGAAGCAUAAAGAAUUUUGGAUAUAUUACCGAGGAGUUUUGAGAGUCGUCGUGCCGUUUUCGAAAGAUAGAUGACAGAACUGGUAGAACGUGGUCAUCAAGUGGAUGUGCUGCGUCAUUUUUCAAGCAUAACGUCAUCGCUAACUUGUUUGGCACUGUUCCUAAUCUAGCCAAUAAUUUGACACUGAAAAGUUAUUUUGCUCAUUUAAUUUGAAAUAACGUAUCAGUGUGAAAAAAUAUCGAGCUUACGUAGUUCUCAGCCUGAGGUUUCAUGAGCGUGUGUCGACACCUAUUAACAGAAGAACUAAUCAUUUGAACCUUACAUACCUACUCAAUUCACUGCUACCUCUGAUCAGCAAAAUGAAUUU
rnacentral:lncRNA from 1 species